UGUCACAACUACACAGCUCUGCCAUUUUAGCACAAAAACCCAGCUAUAGAUUCUAUAAAAAUAAAUAGAUAUGGCUGUAUUCCAACAAAAUAUCAUCUACAAAACAGGUAGUAGGCUGGAUUUGGCCUGCAGGCCAUAGUUUAUUGACCCCCUCCUCUAGAACUUAGGUCUGAGCCUAUCUUAUUCUUUAUUUCCACAAAUACAAAAUUCUAACUCUUCCAAAAACAUAUACUGUUUUGGAUAAAUUAAAUUUACAGAUGAGCGACUAAUAAAUAAUAAACACCAGUAAAAUAAUUUAUAGUGAAUGUAAUAGUUCUACUAAUAACCUACUAUGGGUCCAAAAAAAUCAUUCAUUCAAAUAAUACAGAGUAUCCAACAAGAAACCUCAUUCAAAAAACAACAAAAACAAAAACAAAAAAACUUAUCUUUAUGGUAUCAUUUGCCAGAACAACAAAACACCACUGCCACUCUUGAAACAGGUUCCCAAAUGUUAGGAAUUUACCUACAUGCUACGGUUUCUACUUUUGUUCAAUUGCAACAUCCUCAGCCAGUAAAAAGAGAUGCCAGAAAUCAUAUUUGAAGAUCUUAAAACAUAUAUUCAUAGUUUAGUGACCAUAGGUAAGGACUUAAAACACCAGUGAGUGCUUCUGAUUAUAAUCCUAAAAUCCCUAGAACAAAAGAAUCACAAGAAUGGACCAGGGUAUCAAAUUCUCUAAGAGUGUGUGAUUCUUGAAUGAGCCAUUCUAAGUCUUCCCUACUGAAACACUACCUAGGUAACAAUGCUCAUUUAUUUGAGGGUAAUAGAGGCUAUGGCAACCAAGCUCCAAGACAGCCUCCAAGGACCACCCCCCUUCUUCCUGGUGUAGUCUGUCCUCCACAUUGUUUCAGAGUUGGUCUGUGUGACCAACAAAAUCAAGCACAAAUGACACCAUGUAACUUCCAAAAUCAGAUUCUAAAAGGCACUGCAGCUUCUAUCUUGGUUGCUCUGUCUUGCUCAACUCUCUUAAAUCACUUGCUCAGUGUGGCCCCCGCCAUAUCAUGGUGAGGAACUGAGCCUCUUGCCAACAUCCACACAAAUGGGCUUGACUAGCUCAUCAGAAGACUGCAGACUGGUCAAUAGCUUGACUACAACCUCAUGAAAGACUCAGAGCCAGAAGCAGUUAAAAAAGUAUGUGAGAUAAUAAAUAUUUGUUGUUUUAAUAUGCUAAGUAAUGGAGUAAUUAGUUACAUGGCAAUAGAUAACUGAAGGCUAACACAUACCUAAUAUGUAAACUGGUAUACACAAAAACAGAUUGUGAUUCUUUUUCAGUCAGUGUAGAAAAAGACUGAUAAUAUUCAAAAGCAGACAAGAAAUAAAGUCUUUUCAGGUGUUACAACAGACCCUAAAAGGUGGCUCAUACUGAUGAGAUCCAGCCAUCUGAUCUGUGAAUCUGAGUUCAAGUGACCAAAAUGUAAGGCAAUACUUCCUGCUCAGACCCGGCCCUGAAAUUCCAUCUUCCUUCCUUCUACAUAGGUCAAUGUGCAGAUUUUAUUCAUUCUUUGUGGCCCAGCUCAAUUCCUUCCCAAUACUUUUUAAACCAAAUCAGCACCAACAUGGCUCUGUCUUUUCUCAACAUCUAUUGCAUCUGAUUCUAUACCACAGAGUUUAUGACUGUUAACAAGGAAUUAGUUUAAUCUCCCUAAAUACUUUGAGAACAGAGUAUGGUUUUUAUAAGAAUUCUCUACUUCUCAUCUCACCUCCAUCCUUAUCUCCUGAUAUUAUUCACUUAUUAGCAACAAGUCCCUCUCUCACGACCACUUUAGUAAUUCUAGGGCAUGUUCUAUUGUAGAUAUUAUAUAUGAUAUUCAACAUCAAUUUUCAGUCUCAUCCACGGUCCCCCCUGGAUCCUCGGCCACAGAGGCUGAAAACUACAAUUCCAAGACUCCUUUGCAGGUGUGACUCUGGAUAUAAUUUAGGUUCUGCUGGUAACAUGCACUUGUGUGAGAUCUGGAAAGUACAACAGAUGUAGAAUACUUUUUUUUUUCCCAGUUGUGAUUGCCAACAUGAGCAUUGGUAGCCCACCAGAUUUCAGGCUGUAAGGGGUUACAAAGGAAGUGACUAUUGCAGUAGCAGCAGUGUUCUGGCCUCAGGUCACAGCUCAGUCUUGGUCAAAAAGUCCAGAGGCAGCCCCUGCCUCCAGGCAUUCCAAACAUUUUGUACGCACCAAAUUCCUUGUAGUAAAUCUCUUUCAGGACAAGAUAUCUUAAAGGUUUCUAUUGCCUGUAUUAAACCCUAACUGAUAUACACAGCAUGCAGCUUUUUUUUUUUUUUUUUUUUUUUUAAGAUUUGCUGACCAUCUGGGUUUUUUGUUUGUUUGUUUGUUUGUUUUAUUUUUGGUCUUUUUAGGGCUGCACCCACGGCAUAUGUAGAUUCUCAGGGUAUGGAUCAAAUCAGAGCUGUAGCCACCAGCCUCCCCCAGAGCCACAGCAACACAGGAUCUGAGCUUUGUCUGCGACCCACCACAGCUCAUGGCAAUGCUGGAUCCUUAACCCACUGAGCAAGGCCAGGGAUUGAACCUGCGUGCUUAUGGAUGCUAGUCAGGUUUGUUAAACAUUUUUUUAAUUUUUUUUCAUUCAUCCACUCAACUAGCCAUGGACAUUUUCUGAAUGAACCAAUAAAUGGAGAAGAAAAGAAUGUCUCAAAGGAAAGAUAAUGAUUUUUGUUUUUUGAUAAUAUGCUUGUGCAUUUUGCAGGUGGUGAUAACCAACAGACAGUGGACUCUAGGGCUGCAAUGAAAGUGAGAAGUCCAAAGCUUCUUUCAGUACUUUGAUUGGUGUUAGUGAAAUGUCAGGCGAAAGGACACAGCUCUGACUGUUUGUUGAUUACCUUAAUUGAGUCUGAACAGGAACAAAUGCACUCAUUACUUUUAGUAAAAGCAACGAGCAAUGGUGAAGAAGAGGAUGUGAGGGUUAACCCUAACUUUCUGUUUUCAAUGCUUUUCAAUGGGAAAAAAACCACAGGUUUAUUACCAUAAAAUCUUCAACAGCAUUUCAGUAUAGUACGUUAAGGUCAAUUUAAAACAGAAGAAUUAUUUUCAAGGCCUCUGCUUGCUUCAGCAAAGUUCAAGAAGG
rnacentral:lncRNA from 1 species